UUGGACUGACAAUGUCACAAAGACAAAGGAA
rnacentral:piRNA from 1 species